rfam:Cryptosporidium parvum Iowa II chromosome 8, whole genome shotgun sequence.
GGGGAACUAGCUCAGAUGGUAGAGCGCUCGCUUAGCAUGCGAGAGGUGAUCGGAUCGAUGCCGGUGUUCUCCA